AAAGUACUCCCUUCGUCCCAAAAUUCUUGUCUUAGAUUUGUCUAGAUACAGAUGUAUCAAGUCACAUUUUAGUAUUAGAUACAUCCGUAUCUAGACAAAUCUAAGACAAGAAAUUUGGGAUAGAGGGAGUAGUUG
rnacentral:pre_miRNA from 1 species